UACAGAGGGUGCGAACGUUGCUCGGAAUUACUGGGCGUAAAGCGCAUGUAGGCGGAUCCAUAAGUCGGGCGUGAAAUCCCCAGGCUCAACCUGGGAACUGCGCUCGAAACUGUGGGUCUCGAGUGUCGGAGAGGAUGGCGGAAUUCCUGGUGUAGAGGUGAAAUUCGUAGAUAUCAGGAGGAACGACCGGUGGCGAAGGCGGCAUCCUGGACCAACACUGACGCUGAGUGAGCGAAAGCCAGGGGAGCAA
rnacentral:rRNA from 1 species